rnacentral:lncRNA from 1 species
UUUAAAAAACCUCCACACCAAAAUAAACCCGAACCAAAACCGUUCAACCCUUAUGCCUUCCCUCUCCCAUCACAUUUCCUGCCUCAUUUCCUCCACAGACCCGCCGUCGUGGAAUCAACUCUCGUCCUCUUCCUUCUCCAACACCACCCUCGCCCGUCGCCUCCACUCCCGUCUCCUCCUUCACCCACCGUCCCAUCGCCCCUCCUCCAUUUCCUACUUCAGCACCUGCCCACGCCUCACCGCCCUCACCCAGCGCAUGCGACCCUCAAAAACGGUCGUCGCUCCUUCCCUUCCCUUCCAAACAUCCUGUCGACCAUCCCUUAGCCACCCAAACCUCCACGCUCAGCAAAACUGAAAAACCCCCACAACUACCCAAACUCGGUUGCUCACCAAAUCGGACGAUUCCUAGCUUCCCAUAGGUCAACUCAGGGACUACCCAAUUCCAUCCUCCAAGCUUCAAUUUCAAUUUCCUCCAAUUUCGGUUAGUGUUCGAAUUUUUAGGUCGAAAUUUACGAUUUUCCAAAUUUGGAUCAAUUGGGUAGAAUAGUUGUGAACCUCAUGCUUGCGAUGCUGUCUAUGAAUGCCUAGGAUGUUGCUUGUGCGAUUGAACUUGUUGCUCGCUUGAAUUUUUAGUUUUUCGAUAUCAUUAGAAUUUUCGAGUUUAGCCGAUUUUUGAAAAUCUGAAAUUUCGAGUUGUUGUUGCUAUCCAGGUGUUUAUUAUGCUUUGUUGGUGACUUCAUAUGCCUCCGACCUACUUGUUUGCUUAACCUCUUGUUGAUUCGAUGAAAUUUGCAAUUUUUCAUAAUUUUUUGGAUACCGACAUUUUGUGGAAUUUGUUGGGUAUAACUGUGCUCUCUUAUGCUUUGAUGCCGUACUUGAUGAUUAUGAUGGCUAGUUGAUAUGACUAAUGCUAUUGCUGUAAAUUGUCAGUUCCAUCGAAUUCUUUGCAUUUGGGACCUUUUUGAUGGUUAUAAAGCUUGUUGUGAUUGUAGGAAUCUGCCCGUACCUAUUGCUCUGCCUUGAUUUGGCCGACUGAUUCAUGUGCAUGUCUCCAAACUGUGGAUGCUCAUUUGGUUUACUUGUAAUUCAAUUGAUUGGAGUAACUAGUUAUUCUUGUCUUUGGAUUGAUGCUUCUCAUUGAGCUUGCCUUGCCAUAAUGGGGUUGUUUUGUUCUAUGCUUCGUGAGGACGUGAACUUUCUAAGUGUGGGAGGAGAAAUGAUUGAUUUGUACUAUUGUUGGUGCUAACCUAUAUGCAAAUGUCUUCUCGAUUGGUCUUUGUUCAACAGAUUUGCAGGAUGAGGAAGAAGUUUGUUGUUGGUGCUAGUAUGGGGAAGGUUAUUCACACUGGAAAGAGACUACGAUUGAAUACUCCAGAGUUUUUUUCUGCAGCGGCUUCACCACCUUUUGCCAUGGCUGCUCCUCCCCAUCCACAGCGAGCUGCAGCCUUGUCUUCUGCUGCUCCCUAGGGUCCACCUUGUUCCAGCUGCUGCUUCAGCCUUACCACCCUCAGACUUGGUGCAGAGGAUCUUCAACUUCGACGAGGGAGUGAGUUUGCCCACCGAUACGGAGUGUAUCGAACUUGGGUAGUGGCGCCUCAGGGAUACCUCGACUUGCAGAGCUUUGUGGAUAAGGGAUGGGGGAGCUAGCUGAUUGGAUACAGAACUAAGCAGGGAUUUGGUUGUCGGUAUAUGUCGAUGAUUAAGAGCUCCCACAUGCAACCAGGGGGUACUACUCCACUCUCACGAUCGAAAAUUACACCUCUACCCGAGAGACAGGUAGUAUCACAUUUCGGCUCGGAGGUCCAGGUUUAUCUUUCAUGGUAGAUGGGUUUUUACACCCGGGAGCAGGUGACUGACUUGGAGCUGGUUUCGUUGGCCACCAUGGAGAAGAAGGCAAUUCCAAACCCGAGGGAGUUUUGGCAGGAUAUCUCGUGGGGAGAUACCACUUAUUCUGCUCGCUCAUCAAAGGUAAGAUGGGUUAAUUUGCCUAGGCAGAGGCUUCUUCAUUUACUUUUUUGACGUGCCAUCACCGCCAGGAAGCAUGCUAGCAACAGAGGGGUAGUGAACUCCAUGGACUUAUGGCUCUUUUACUGACUCGAGAAGGAACUGAAGGUUCAUCUUGGAGAUUUGGUGGUUGGGUUGUGUGGGUGUGUCCUCAAGCAGAGAGGGAUGGGAGUUCUGUUUGGAGCGAGCUAUGUUGCACGGUUGGUGCGACAGCUUGGAGUGUUAGACGCCUUUGAGCAGGACCCGUUAUAUCAGCGCGGGUUUCCCCUUACAAUUCGAGCACUUAAGUAUCAUGGAGUUCCCAACCUGACAGCUUCUAUUUGCCUAAAGGGAUUAGAGGUGCGAGAGAAAGAGGGUGCAAAUUUCCAUUCAAUGUUAGUUGAGACACUCAAAAUCGAGAUGGGAGUUUGCAGAUGAGUGUGAGUGACGUUCUGGAUAAUCAGAUAGGACUCAGGCGUGACUUUCAGCAGUUAGAUGGAGACAAUAGAGCCACUUGGGAGAGCGCAGAGUAAAGAGCAGAGAGACUGGAGGGCGAGAUGCGAGGACUUCGCCAUGAUUUUCAGCACUAUGCCACUGAGAGCAGGGAUGCUUGGGGACGUUAGGACAAGAGAGCUGAGCAGUUUGCCGAGAGUCAAGCUCAGUAGGGGUAGUGGAUACAACAGCAGGGGCAGCAUAUCACCUACAUCCAUGAGUAGCAGCAUUGGCAGAGUGCACACAUAUCCUACUACCAGGACAGCUACUUCAUUGGAGCGACCUAUCCUCCUCCGUGGCCAGUAUAUCCGCCUGCACCAUAUGGCCCGAGUAUGAUCCGUACCCUCAGUUACCGGGGUACCCAUAUCCUCCACCAGAUCAGUGAUUGUUGGGACGCAUCAUUGACUCAAACUUUUGUGGUUUUUAUUUUCAUGUAAGACUUUGUGAUUUUUCUUUUCUUAAUUUUUCUUUUUGUCUGUAUAACGGAUGAUAACUUCGGUUUCAUCUAUCACUAGUACAUUGUUUUUGCUAUGAUUGGUAGGUCUCAAUAAUGAUUCUUCUAUCACAUCUCACCAUCAAACUCCAUUUUAUCAACACAAUUCGGUAUCAACUAUUCUCUUCUGUAAUGUGACUUCAUGUGAGGGUAAUGUUGGGUUCAUUGGAUGAAUUAGGGUGUUAUUAUUUCA